AGGGCAGCUGGUCUGAAGGAAUACUUCAUUUAGCUGCAGCGGGAGGGGGAAGUCUGCUAGCCCCAGCCUGCUUAUCCAGACUGGAGCGUGGCCACCGCGCUGUGGUUUAACAUCCCAGACUGGGGAGAAAAGCCACCGAUGAGGUCUGUAGUGACUCCGAGUGCCCAGGCCUCUGCUUUGGUCUCGUUUGCGAGAGAGGUCCUUGAAAAUCGCAGAAACUGUUGUGCCUCUGAGGGUGGAGCCCAGAGUUCCUAUCGAGGCCCCAGGUACCAAAUUUCUGGUCUUCGGAAGAAGCCUUCAUCCUGAGACAUCAGCGCCUGCUGCUGAAAUACGACUUUCCUCUUCAUCCCGCUCCAUCUCUGUGAAGUAGGAGGAGGGCGACCGUGUUUCUGGGGACAACCCCCGCAGAAUGACCAGGCACAGUUGACAUGCCGUCCAGUUUAAUCCUCAUGGCAACCUUUUCUUAUGUCAGUAACCAGAGGAAAGCAAAGCUCCAGAAGAUUGAGCACCUGGUCCGCUGUCACAGCCGGUAGGAGGAAGAGAGAGCUGCCCCAGUCCUCCAGGAUGUUGUGGAGCUGUGCUUCUAGAGAGGUGCCGUUUUGCUUUUGAGGUGACAGCCUGAUGGCGGAAUCUGCAGGAUUUGGUGGCAUCUGUAGUCACACAUCUGCACAGAAAAUUGUGGCUAAUUAAAGGGAAGAGUUGUUGCUCUUCAGCCACAGUCGUGUCCAACUCUUUGCAACGCUACAGACUGCAGCCCCCCAGGCUCCUCUGUCCAUGGGGAUUUUCCAGGAUGCCAUGCCCUCCUCCAGGGGAUCUUCCUGACUCAGGGAUCAAACCUGGGUCUCCUGCAUUGGCAAGUGGAUUCUUUACCAUCUGAGCCACCAGGGAAGCCCUUGAAUGGGAGGAGAAGUGCAUGUAAAGUGACUUUAAUGAUUCUCUGACUUUUAAAUAUUUAGUUUCAGUGUCAGAAGAACAUUUUUUUAAAGACAGUGAAGUGUGCUCUUCUGCUAAAUUUUUAAUUUCUCUUUCUGAUUAGGCUUCCCUGAUAGCUCAGUUGGUAAAGAAUCCGCCAGCAAUUCAGGAGACCCCAGUUUGGUUCCUGGGUUCAGCAGAUCCAUCGGAGAAGGGAUAGGCUACCCACUCCAGGAUUCUCGGGCUUCCCUGGUGGCUCAGCUGGUAAAGAAUCCACCUGCAAUGCGGGACACCUGGGUUCGAUCCCUGGGUUGGGAAGAUCUCCUGGAGAAGAGAAAGGCUACCCACUCUAGUGU
ensembl:lncRNA